rnacentral:rRNA from 1 species
AGAGUGAACGCUGGCGGUAGGCCUAACACAUGCAAGUCGAACGGCAGCACAGUGGUAGCAAUACCAUGGGUGGCGAGUGGCGGACGGGUGAGGAAUACAUCGGAAUCUACCUUUUCGUGGGGGAUAACGUAGGGAAACUUACGCUAAUACCGCAUACGCCCUUUGGGGGAAAGCCGGGAUCGCAAGACCUGGCGCGGAUAGAUGAGCCGAUGUCGGAUUAGCUAGUUGGUGAGGUAAUGGCUCACCAAGGCGACGAUCCGUAGCUGGUCUGAGAGGAUGAUCAGCCACACUGGAACUGAGACACGGUCCAGACUCCUACGGGAGCAGCAGUGGGGAAUAUUGGACAA